rnacentral:piRNA from 1 species
UGCCUUGCUGACUGCAAUCCACAUGGUC